rnacentral:piRNA from 1 species
UGGCAUCAGAUCCCACAAGUUGAGGGC